UACGUAGGGUGCAAGCGUUGUCCGGAAUUAUUGGGCGUAAAGAGCUCGUAGGUGGCCUGUCGCGUCGGCUGUGAAAACUCGGGGCUCAACUCCGAGCUUGCAGUCGAUACGGGCAGGCUAGAGUUCGGCAGGGGAGACUGGAAUUCCUGGUGUAGGCGGUGAAAUGCGCAGAUAUCAGGAGGAACACCGGUGGCGAAGGCGGGUCUCUGGGCCGAUACUGACGCUGAGGAGCGAAAGCGUGGGGAGCGAACAGG
rnacentral:rRNA from 1 species